UACGGGGGGGGCAAGCGUUGUUCGGAAUUACUGGGCGUAAAGGGCUCGUAGGCGGCCAACUAAGUCGGAUGUGAAAUCCCCAGGCUCAACUUGGGAACUGCAUCCGAUACUGGAUGGCUUGAAUUCGGGAGAGGGAUGCAGAAUUCCAGGUGUAGCGGUGAAAUGCGUAGAUAUCUGGAGGAACACCAGUAGCGAAGGCGGCUCGCUGGGCCAUUCCUGACGCUGAGACGCGAAAGCUAGGGGAGCGAACAGG
rnacentral:rRNA from 1 species